rnacentral:rRNA from 1 species
UGAGUAACACGUAGGUAAUCUACCUUCGGGUGGGGAAUAACCCAGGGAAACUUGGGCUAACACCGCAUAAUGCAGCGGCACCACAUGGUGACAGUUGUUAAAGCGGGGGACCUUAGGACCUCGCGCCUGAAGAGGAGCCUGCGGCGGAUUAGCUAGUUGGUGAGGUAACGGCUCACCAAGGUGACGAUCCGUAGCCGGCCUGAGAGGGCGGUCGGCCACACUGACACUGACAUACGGGUCAGACUCCUACGGGAGGCAGCAGUCGGGAAUUUUGGGCAAUGGGCGAAAGCCUGACCCAGCAACGCCGCGUGAAGGAUGAAAUCCCUCGGGAUGUAAACUUCGCAAGAAUGGGAAGAAUUAGUAGGGGUUAAUACCCCCUAUGAUGACGGUACCAUUUGUAAGCUCCGGCUAACUCCGUGACAGCAGCCGCGGUAAUACGGGGGGAGCAAGCGUUGUUCGGAUUUACUGGGCGUAAAGGGCGCGUAGGCAGGUCAGCACAAGUCAGUUGUGAAAUCUCCGGGCUUAACUCGGAACGGUCAACUGAUACUGUGCGACUAGAGUGCGGAAGGGGCAA